rnacentral:rRNA from 1 species
AUUGAACGCUGGCGGCAUGCCUUACACAUGCAAGUCGAACGGCAGCACGGGAGCAAUCCUGGUGGCGAGUGGCGAACGGGUGAGUAAUGUAUCGGAACGUACCUUUCAGUGGGGGAUAACGUAGCGAAAGUUACGCUAAUACCGCAUAUUCUGUGAGCAGGAAAGCAGGGGAUCGCAAGACCUUGCGCUGAUUGAGCGGCCGAUAUCAGAUUAGCUAGUUGGUGAGGUAAAGGCUCACCAAGGCGACGAUCUGUAGCGGGUCUGAGAGGAUGAUCCGCCACACUGGAACUGAGACACGGUCCAGACUCCUACGGGAGGCAGCAGUGGGGAAUUUUGGAC